rnacentral:lncRNA from 1 species
UAGAUUUGCAUUGAAUCAACACCAUGAACAGAGUACAUUCUUACAUAUAGCAGAUUACAAAUGAUUCAUCUACAUCCUAGACUAUCCUAGAUCCUACCUCCAAAAGAAGCUUAGCUCCUCAUGUUUCUUCGUUCGCGUCCUCGCUUCAACUUCAUGGCUUGAGAAUCCAUGCUAUUGAGAUGCUCGGAGCUAUCCUAUGGAGUCCUUGAUCUGGAUCUUGAUGCUUCCAAAAUCAGAGAAUAGAUGAAUAAUGCAGAAUUUUCCAACCCCUUAACAGAAAAAUGCAGAAUCCUUAUAUAGUGAUCGCAACCACGCCGCGCGUCAGAUCUAUCACGCCGCGCGUGGUUGCAAUUUCUUCAACGACGCCGCGCGUGUAACGGUAUCACGCGGCGCGUGAUCCAAUCUGAGGCCUCUGAUCUUCAGCUCUGCCAUCUUCACGCCGCGCGUGAUAGCUCCACGCCCCCGGCGUAGUUGUUCCUCUUCUCUUUACGCCGCGCGUGGUCAGUGCUACGCCGCGCGUGAUCAAGUCAGAGAGCAAUCCAAUUCCUGAACAAAGCNNNNNNNNNNNNNNNNNNNNNNNNNNNNACAAGUAAUCAAGCUUAUGAUUAGAUUUCUCUUAUAUUUAUUGCUUAAAACCUACUAAAAUGCAUUUAAUGUUGCUAAAAUAGGCAUGGAUUAGAGAGUGUGACGAUCCGUCAUCAGUGUUUUUUUGCUAGAAGUCUCUUUCUCAUCUUUUGGUUAGAACGUAAAUUUUGACUUUCACAUUUGUAUGAUAUAUAUUUUGUAGCAAAAUUAAGUGAAAUAAAUGUGCUUGCUAUUAGCUGAAAUAUAUUCAGAUGUUAGUGUCUGUCAAGUACCUUUUUGUAGAUUUUGGAUACAAGGUGAAAUCCACCCUUUGUCAAGGAGCCAAAAGUAAUUGAAAAGUCAAGGAAGAGAAACAUAAGAUAUUCUCCCAUUUGGUUAUAGUAGGAAUCUUUAUCAUAACACAAGAUGAAUCAUAAUUACCAUCAAUGGCAAUCUCUUUGAUGCUCCUAUGUUGUAGUUAGAGUCGUUAAUCAAAUGUUUCAGCACAAGGCACAACGCAAGCAUGACUACCUCUAACAUACAAAAGUAAAAAAGUAACGGUAAGAAGAAAAAAAAAAUGAAGAAAUCAAAGCAAAGUUGCGACUAUACUACCACGAUGCAUAAAAAGAAAAUUAAGUUCUCAUACUAUUACACUAUUAGAAUAAAAUAUAUGCACCUCUUCAAACUUAUGAAUAUUAACAGAUAUUCACUAAAAAUUAUAUUAAUUGUCCUUAAUAACACAAAUCUACUAUGUAGGUUAAUAUUAAACAAAAUUAUUAUUUUUUUAAAUAACCUUCUUAUUUUUAAUAUAAAUUUAUAUUAAAUAUAACCAUGUUACUAUAUUUAAAAUAUUAACAAUCAUUUAAUUAUAUAUGAUUAUACUUAUCAUAAUUAUUAUUUUUAUUGAUAAAAAAUAUUUUAAAUGUGUGUUUUAAUCAAACCCAUGAAAUGAAAGAAAAAAAACAAAUCCUCUAUAAAAAAGAGUAUUGCAUUCUAAUAAGCACUACUAAAUUAAAUUGAAAAUCCGAAUAAAAAUUAUUAAAUAAAAAAAUUCAAAGCAAAAUGAACGGAGAAAAACCUCAUAGAAAAAAAAAACCAAACAAUAGACAAAAAAAAUUGAGACUAAUAAAAUCGGGAUAAAAUUUCACCAAGUGAAUAAUUGAUAAGAAACUUCAAGAGAAUGAGGUAAGUAGAUAAUUUAUUUGGCAUCUUAACUGUAUAGAAGGGAGUAAGCAGUAACAUUGCUAUUUGAUAGGUAAUUUUCAGAACACGAGAUCACGUGAUAAAAAUUGUCAAAAUCACCAUACUUCUUAGAUCAACAUUACUCAUGAGCAAUAUUUUCACCAAUUAUAAGUAUGUAUGACCUCUAACUCUUAUUGAAAAUAAAUAAAUAAGGGAUACAUUAAAAAUAAAAAUGCAAAGUGAUUUGUGACUAAAAUUGCAACUCAUAUAAUGAAAAUUAAGAUUUUAUACGAUGACACAAUUAAAAUAAAAUAUGAUACAUCAUUUAAAUAAAAAUUAUUUUAAUCUUGAACAAUUUUUUUUGUUUUUACACAUAUAUAAAUAUUGAAUAUAACCAUAUAAUUUGUUGGAUUUUGCCCCGACCAAAAUUCUGCACAAAAUCUGCUUCUGAGCCUUAAGUUCAAAGCUUCGCACAUAACUCAAUUUGGACCAAUAAUUCACAAAACUGAUACCGAAACAAUCGUAAUCGAGUUAACUUUCACAGAAU